GAAAUUAUACCACAAGUUUCCAAACUACAAAAGGGAUGGUUAUGAUUUGCUCGGAGGGGUAGGUGGGGGAGGUGUUAUGGCUCAAACCGUUUAGGAAUUAGAGGCAAAAAAGAGGGAAAAACAAGGGUUUCUUGGUUAAUGGUCAAUUAAGACAAUUUGAAACCAGUGUAAGGAAGGUAAUCCAAAUAUAUUAAGGUAAUCCAGACAUGUUUGAUUACCUCCCUUACACUGCUUUAAAAUUAUGUGUAAAGAUUUUUUUUCCCAUAUCAGAUUUCAGAAAUUAAAAAGAAAAAAAGUGGGGGAUACAUUUUUCUUUUCUUGAGGUUGGGGUCAGUAUGCAACAGCAUAGUAUAUUGCACAAAACAACAAAAAAGGAGGGUAUUUUUUUAAUUUUUGGAGGGGGUGGGCAAUUCGCAACAGCGUAGUGCAAAAGCAAAAAAUUAAGUAUAAAUUCAAAUUAUAUAACCAAUUUUUAGUUCUUUGACUACAGUUAUUCUGUGUCAGAAACCUAUUAUGUGUCAAAUAUUUAAUUACAUUCCAAAUUCAGACCUGAAUCAAGCGUGAAUAGUGUGUCCAUUUUUGUCCGAACGGUUCAGGGUUGGACCUCUGCGGUCGUAUCCAACUGCGUUCGGCGAAGCAAUUUAAUAAAGACUUAAAUAUAAUUUUAUAUACAUAUUAAGUUGUGAAUAUGGUGAAACUGAUCCUCAAAAUAAGUUUAAACUGCCC
rnacentral:lncRNA from 1 species